UGUAAAAUAACACAUUUUUGAAAAGUAAUUUUCAAAAUAGUAAAAUUAAUGCUUUGAAAAGUACUUUUCAGAUGUGUUAUUUUAUA
rnacentral:miRNA from 1 species